CGAUUGGCCGGCGUGGUGUUUCAGGCCGUUCUGCUGCUUUGUUCGGUGUAUCUGGUCGGCCUCGCUUCGAUCGUUCAAUCUAGAGGCGUCGCCGCCGCGGACGGCAGAGGCAUGAUCCUGGUCGGACCCUUCGUCUUCAACGUCGGGGACGUGGGUGAGGAAGACGUCGGUGCCGCGGACGGUGGCGGUGUGUGUGGUCUGGAUCGGACUGUUGGUUUUGAUCUGACGGCUUAAACAGACCAGUUAGAUCUAUUAGUUUAACAGAAAAAAAAGGAGAAAGAUAACGUUAAUGAAAAGGCCCCACGCACCAACGUACGUGAGGUUUUUAUCUCAACUAAGGCGCCCUGAUCGGGGGCACCCAAACCAACUGAUGGUUUAGGUCCCCUGUCGCCAGCCCUACAUAAAAGGGAACGGGAGAGGGUUGGCAGCCUGCGCGAUCACAAUUCUCGUACGGUUUCACUCCCCUCCCGAUAUUCUCUCACCCCAUCCGAUCAGGGGGAGCGCUGCAGCGACGGGAAGACCUACUCCAGCCGCCGCUCCCGUCCCCGGGCAGUGCCGGUGGCGUCCUGAGGGCAUCAGGACGUUGAGGAGGACUUCUACCUCGACUACAUCACCUCUGCAUCAAGCCUGCACCAAGCAGGCGAUCAUGUCCACUGCCGUGACACGUAAUGAUCCCCUAAACCCUUCUCUGUUCAUGUUUUAGGUGUUCUAGAUGCAAUCUGUUCCUGCUAAUAGCAUCCCAGAGAUGCAUAAUUUUUCCAACAAUGGUAUCAGUCGCCAGAUAUGAUUGCUUUUAGAUCCCUAUAUCAUGUUCAGUAAACCAAUCUCAAGUUUAGGCCCUCUGUAGAUCAAGUUUGAUUGCUACUGUUUUUUGAUGUUGAUGUCAAUUGCCCACUGUUGAUGAUGUUUUAAUUCCAAUUUGCUACGGAUCAGUAGUGCCACCUAAGUUCAUCAAUUCUAAUUAAUCUAAGUUAAGAUCUAAUGCUCACCUUCAUGUUAAGUUGAUUAAAAUUCAUCAUGUUUAAGUCCUGUUUCCGUAUGCAUUAUCAACACACAAGGCAGAGGGAUACACGCACGUCAACAGUAGGAACCCCUCAUGUUUAAGAACCCUAGAUCUUUUCCCCAAUUCGUAAGAACCCUAAUUCUGCAAUUAGGACUAUUUUCCCCCAAAUCAAGCACUGAUGAAAACGAAUUGGAGAAGAAAUGAGGAGAAUCCUCACCUAAUGCGUUGCGUAGCCGCCUCUUCCCUUCGGGGCCCGCAUCGCGUCCACCGCGGUGCGAGGGCGGAGACGUCGUGAUGCCGCCGUCCUCGGGACGACGCGCGAAAAGAACUUGAGCCGCUGCCGCCGUGCUUAUGGACGAACGCCAGCUCGGCCUUGUGGUCGUGCUCGCCGCCGUCACCCCGAAAUGGAAUCCCGGGCGAGCAUACCCCGCCCCUCGCGCGCGGCGUCAGCAGCCACGCUUGACGGAGGAGCGCGCCGGACUAAGUCCGCGGCACGCUGCUCCGGCGAGCGCAGCCGCAGCGCCGCCUUGGCCGGUGCGCCUCGGGCCGCCGUUGUCCGCCGUCGCCGCCCUCUGUAGCGAUAAACGCGGGGGCGGAGGGGUCAGGGGAGAAAGUGACUAGGGUUAGGCCGGUCAGCAUUUUUGUUCGGGCUCCAAGCCGCGCCGGCCGUCCCAUUCGAUCGAGCGGCUCACAGCGACGCGGAGCACCGCUUCGGGCCUUCGGGGGUUUAACGGGCCAUAUCCGGCCGCGGGCUUCAGCCCAGAUUGUCUCAGUCCAGCCAAAAAAAAAUACGCUACUGGACUGAUCCGCAUUUCGCACAGCCGUGGGUUUUCUUGGGCCAAAAUCACUGUCGCCAUUUUUUCUGUUUUUCCAGUGCGUUUAAGUUAAUAGUUAUUAUGUUUUUGCACUGUUUAAAAAAAUGCAUAAAAAUAUAAUGAACACAUUAUUAUUCUGGGUAAAAUUGAACCAACGAGAUAUUUUAUUCAGGAUUUAUUAUGUGUUUUGCAUGAUGAACUUAUUUAAGCAUCAAAUAAUGAUAUUGUUUUUUUAUGUUGAUGCUUAAAUUAAUAAUGACAUGACCCUAAUUUUAUUUCGGACCAACGUUGUUUUAUUAUUAUGAGUCAUCACUUAUGAUAUUUUAAUUCCAUGUUUUUUCUGCCCAACGGUGUUUUGACAUGGAGUUGAAAUUAAAUACUUGGCAUGUUUGUUUAUUUACCAACGUAAAUUUAUAAUCAUGCAAGUUUACUUAUGAACUUUUAUGAUGAUUUCAGCUUCCGCUCCAUUCCGGUCCGACACGAUCGAACCACUUACGGGGAGUAACUUUCCUCGUUGGAAGUCCCAAGUCGAAUUAUGUUUGGGUUGUAAUGAAUUUGACUAUGCCUUGAGGGAAGAAAAACCUGUGGCACCUGUGGCAGGUGUCACAGGGUAUGCAGAACUCAAGGAGUAUGAUGUUAAGAUGGAAAAGUGGAAUAAGUCCAACCAUAUUGCGCUUCUCAUCAUGAAAGCGACAAUAUUGCCGGACAUUUCUGAAGCACUCCCUAAGAAAGAUACUGCUAAAGAUUUCCUCACUGAAAUGGAGGAGCAAUUUAAAGGCUCCGACAAAGUGUAUGCUCAUGAGCUUUUUGCUAAACUUCUUCAGAAAUACACUAUUGAUGGAAAUGUUAGGCAGCACAUAUUGAGGGUGGUAAAUGCUUUCACCAAGCUUAAGGCUUUGGAGUGUUCUUUAAGUGAAGCCCUUCUUGUCAUAAUUAUUCUUGAGUCUCUUCCUGAAGAGUUUGAACAAUUUAAGGUCAACUAUAACUCUCUAAAGGAAAAAUGGCCACUCUCUGAGAUGACCGCAAGGAUCGUCCAGGAGGAAGAAAGGAUCAUGAGGCAGAAAAAAGACCAUGUCUUUCAUGUUGGCUCUAACAAGAGAAAGCAUGACGGACAAGGUUUCCCUAAGCCUCAGAAAAGGCAAGUCAAGAAAGAAGGCACUAAGCCAUUCAACCCCAAGGCAUUCAAGGGUAAAGAAGCCGGUGGUUCUUCUUCUGCUCCUAGCAGCUCCACUGCUGGAGAAAAUGCUUGUAACUUCUGCAAAGAAGAGGGACACUAUCAAAGGGACUGCCCAGGCUUUCUAAAAUGGAUGAACAAAAGAGGUAUUGAUGAAAUUACUUUUGUAGAUGAAUCACUUUAUGUUGAUUUUUCAAUAAAGUCAUGGUGGAUUGAUUCAGGGGCAACCACUCAUGUUGCUAACUCUAUGCAGGGAUUCGAUACGAUCCAAACCAUAAGAGGAGGAACAAGAAAGCUUAAGGUUGCGAACGGAGUUGAGGCCGAUGUUGAAGCUGUGGGAUCUCUCACGUUGGAGCUACACACUGGCCACACUCUUAGAUUGAAUAAUGUUAUUUAUGUGCCUACCUUAAGUAGGAAUUUGAUUUCAGUUUCUCGUUUAGAUGAUGAUAUGUAUGAGUGCCAUUUUGGCAAGAAACAAUUUGCUUUGAUCAAAUGUAAUAAGAAUGUAGGCAUCGGUGUUAGACGAGGCCAACUAUACAUGUUAUCUCUUCAUAAUGAUUCAGUUAUGCAUGUGAGUGAUGAAAUUAAUGUUGAGAAGAAAUGGAAAGGAGUAAGUAAUUCUUCGAAAUUGUGGCAUUGUCGUUUGGGCCACAUUUCGAGGGGGAGAAUGGAACGCUUAGUUAAAAAUGAAAUACUCCUCCCAUUAGACUUCUCAGAUGCAGACAAAUGUGUCGACUGCAUUAAAGGAAAAUUUGCAAAAACAAUUAAGAAAGGAGCAGUUAGAGCCACAAGGGUUUUAGAAUUAAUUCACACCGACAUAUGUGGACCCCUUAAUAUUAAGUCUGUAGAUGGUUUUGAUUCGUUCAUUACAUUCACAGAUGACUUUUCCCGCUAUGGGUAUAUUUAUCCCAUACGUGACCGAUCGGAAGCUUUGGAGAAAUUCAAAGUCUAUAAAGCGGAGGUUGAAAAUCAACUGAACGCAAAAAUCAAAGUUGUACGGUCUGAUCGCGGGGGAGAGUAUUAUGGUAGGCAUGCUCCUUAUGGGCAGAUUCCUGGACCUUUUGCCAAGUUCUUAUCUGAAAAUGGAAUCAUUGCUCAGUACUCAAUGCCUGGUGAACCACAACAAAAUGGUGUGGCCGAGCGCCGCAACCGCACCCUUAUGGAUAUGGUGCGAAGCAUGCUUAGUCACUUGAGUUUACCAGUAAGCAUUUGGAUAGAGGCAUUAAAGACAGCUGCACACAUACUAAAUCUUGCUCCAACUAAGUCAGCACCUAACACACCUUACGAGAUGUGGGCGGGAAAGAAACCGAGCUUGAAUUACUUAGGGGUGUGGGGUUGCCCUGCUGAAGCUAAAGUUUUCAAUCCACAACUUAAGAAAUUGGAUCCAAAAACAGUUAGUUGUUUCUUCGUAGGAUACCCUCAUAGGGGAAAGGGAUAUCGUUUUUAUUGUCCAAAUCACACCACCAAGUUUGUGGAGACUAGACAAGCGGUAUUUUUUUGAGGAUAAUGAGAUCACAAAUUUAAGGGAGAUCGAUCUUGAGGAGAAGCGGGUUUGUGUACCAUCCCCGACUAUCCAAGAGAUUGUUUUUUCAAUACGAAGAAAUGUGACAUCUGAUGAUCCUGAAUCUCACGGUUCAGUCUCUCAGUCGAAUGGUGAUCCAGAAACUAAUAAUGAGAAUCCAAACACAAAUGAGGAUCUCCGAGAAAAUAAUGAAAAUGAUGAUGUUCCACCACCACCUCCGCCCAUGGGUAGACCACGGCGUGAGAGGAAGAAAGCCAUAUCAGAUGAUUAUAUCACCUUUUUGAUGGAGGACAUGAAUGAUAUGGGAAAGGUGGAGGAUCCAACCUCAUAUAAGGAAGUCAUUAAAAGCGAAAAUUCGUCCAAAUGGUUGGUUGCCAUGGAAGACGAGUUGAAAUCUAUGGGCUCAAACGAUGUAUGGGACUUAGUAGAAGUUCCCGAUGGAGCUAAGAAAGUAGGCUGCAAGUGGGUCUACAAAACCAAGUAUGAUUCCAAAGGGAAUGUCGAACGGUUCAAGGCAAGGCUAGUGGCAAAAGGGUAUACACAGAGAGAAGGCAUUGAUUAUAAACAAACUUUCUCUCCUGUGUCAACCAAGGAUUCUUUCAGAAUCAUAAUGGCAUUAGUAGCUCAUUACGACCUGGAACUACACCAAAUGGAUGUUAAAACGGCAUUUCUAAAUGGUGACUUAAAAGAAGAUGUCUACAUGGCUCAGCCAGAAGGCUUUGUUGUGGAAGGAAAGGAACAUUUAGCAUGUCGUCCAAAGAAAUCAAUUUAUGGCUUGAAGCAAGCUUCAAGAGAGUGGUACCUCAAGUUUGAUAAAAUUAUCAAAACUUUUGGUUUCACCGAAAAUGUUGUGGACGACUGCAUAUACAUUAAGUUUAAAGGCAGUAGGUUCACAUUUUUAGUCCUAUACGUUGAUGACAUAUUAUUGGCAUGUAGCGAUAAGGAUAUGCUGCAUGAGACCAAGAAUUUUCUGUCAUCCAGUUUUGAUAUGAAAGAUCUUGGUGAAGCCUCGUAUGUCCUCGGCAUCGAGAUUCAUCGAGAUAGGUCCAGAGGAACGUUAGGACUAUCUUAAAAGGCAUACUUUGAGAGAGUACUAAAAAAAUUCAAUAUGCAUAAGUGCUCACCCUCACCUGCUCCUAUAGUUAAGGGCGAUAAGUUUGGGACAUUUCAAUGUCCGAGGAACCAAUGUGAAACUGAUCAGAUGAAGUCGGUUCCUUAUGCUUCAGCUGUUGGAAGCAUCAUGUAUGCUCAAGUGUGUACACGCCCAGACUUAUGUUUUGUAAUCGGGGUGCUUGGCAGAUACCAAUCAAAUCCAGGACCGGACCACUGGAAGGCCUCAAAGAAAGUCUUGCGUUAUAUGCAAGGAACUAAGGACUUCAUGCUUACAUAUAAAAGAACUGAUAACCUAGAAAUUGUUGGUUAUUCAGACUCUGAUUUUGCCGGGUGUGUGGAUAGUAUGAGAUCCACGUCAGGUUAUAUAUUCACACUCGCGGGAGGAGCUAUAUCGUGGAAAAGCUCCAAACAAACGUUAACUGCUGGAUUUACGAUGCAAGCAGAAUUUGUAGCAUGUUAUAAGGCCACCGGGCAGGCUGUAUGGCUAAAGAAUUUUAUACCCGGACUUAAAGUGGUUGACAGCAUAUCUAAACCAAUUUUAUUGUACUGCGAUAAUGAACCAGCAGUUUUCUAUACGAGUAACAACAGGUCAAGUAAUGCUGCCAGACACAUUGACAUAAAGUAUCGUGUUGUGAAAGAUAGAAUCUAGGAUCAAACAGUUGAUGUUAAACAUAUAAGAACGAAGCAUAUGCUUGCGGAUCCGCUAACAAAAGGCUUACCACCCAGUAUCUUUCGUGAGCAUGUUGCCGGCAUGGGACUACUGGAGGCCUGAUGAUUCUGGAAUAAGAGGACCAUUAAAAUAAACCACUCCCCAAUUAGUAAAAUGUUUUCCAUUUCGAAAUAGGCGGGUGUACUAUAAGUGUUGAGGUUCUGUGGCGUUUCAAGCUGUUGUAACACCUCACUUUGGUACAUCAUUCCUAUGUAGAAUGGGCGAAUGAAGUUAAGCCUAACGAUCAAGGGGGAGAACGUUGGUUUUGAUCUGACGGCUUAAACAGGCCAGUUAGAUCUAUUAGUUUAACAGAAAAAAAAGGAGAAAGAUAACAUUAAUGAAAAGGCCCCACGCACCAACGUACGUGAGGUUUUUAUCCCAACUAAGGCGCCCUGAUCGGGGGCACCCAAACCAACUGAUGGUUUAGGUCCCCUGUCGCCAGCGCUACAUAAAAGGGAACGGGAGAGGGUUGGCAGCCUGCGCGAUCACAAUUCUCGUACGGUUUCAUUCCCCUCCCGAUAUUCUCUCACCCCAUCCGAUCAGGGGGAGCGCUGCAGCGAUGGGAAGACCUACUCCAGCCGCCGCUCCCGUCCCCGGGCAAUGCCGGUGGCGUCCUGAGGGCAUCAGGACGUUGAGGAGGACUUCUACCUCGACUACAUCACCUCUGCAUCAAGCCUGCACCAAGCAGGCGAUCAUGUCCACUGCCGUGACACGUAAUGAUCCCCUAAACCCUUCUCUGUUCAUGUUUUAGGUGUUCUAGAUGCAAUCUGUUCCUGCUAAUAGCAUCCCAGAGAUGCAUAAUUUUUCC
rnacentral:lncRNA from 1 species